GAUUUUCUGUAGACAAUUUGGAUGGAAAGACCUUAAAACUGAGCGUAGGAGCGCAAACAGGGUUUGCACAUUUUACUUGCAGUAAAAUUCAAGCAUUUUUAAGCUCUUCAUUUUCUUCCGGAGUCUCACAAUUCUCCCCAUCUGAUGCCUGGUCAGGAGUUUCCUCUAUCAAUGCUCUCUGACAGGUUUUCCAUUGUCGUCGGGAUAACUUCUGGCUGAGGCGAUGUGACACAGUUAAGACGCUCUGAGGAAGUAGACUCAGCAGCAUUUGGAGAGGUCUCGCUUUCAGACAAUGGAGUUAGCCUGGCCCUCCAGGUACGACUCAUCUGCCGAUGCUCGGCUCACUCCCAAGACGACAUCAGGGACGAACUCGCUCUUGCU